AUGGAUUUAGCUGUCCCAACAGAAUUCCUACUUCUUGCUUAUUUUCAUGAGGUCUCUGCAGUUUUUAGUAAGAAUCACGUUUACUUUUCUCUUAUCCUGAAAUAUGGCACUUGCACAAGUUCUUUGCUCAUGAUUACUUUUCCACUGCCAGGUAUAUUGUCCGGUUUGGUACCUCAUGUUGGCAUGGAAUUUAAAAAUUCAGAUGAAGCUUGGGCAUUUUGGCUUAUCUAUGGUCGUAAAAAGGGCUUUGGGGUCAGGAAAAGGUGCACAAACAAGAGAUCCGCCGAUGGCAAGGUUACUUCAUGCCAAUUUAUUUGUGCAAGGAAAUGGAAUGCUUAA
rnacentral:rRNA from 1 species